UACGUAGGGUGCGAGCGUUAAUCGGAAUUACUGGGCGUAAAGCGUGCGCAGGCGGUUUUGUAAGCCAGAUGUGAAAGCCCCGGGCUUAACCUGGGAAUGGCAUUUGGGACUGCAAGGCUUGAGUGCGGCAGAGGAGACUGGAAUUCCUGGUGUAGCAGUGAAAUGCGUAGAUAUCAGGAGGAAUACCGAUGCGAAGGCAGGUCUCUGGGCUGACACUGACGCUCAUGCACGAAAGCGUGGGGAGCAAACGAGGAUUAGAU
rnacentral:rRNA from 1 species